AUUGAACGCUGGCGGCAUGCCUUACACAUGCAAGUCGAACGGCAGCACGGGGCAACCUGGUGGCGAGUGGCGAACGGGUGAGUAAUGCAUCGGAACGUACCUUUCAGUGGGGGAUAACGUAGCGAAAGUUACGCUAAUACCGCAUAUUCUGUGAGCAGGAAAGCAGGGGAUCGCAAGACCUUGCGCUGAUUGAGCGGCCGAUGUCCGAUUAGCUAGUUGGUGAGGUAAAGGCUCACCAAGGCGACGAUCUGUAGCGGGUCUGAGAGGAUGAUCAGCCACACUGGAACUGAGACACGGUCCAGCCUCCUACGGGAGGCAGCAGUGGGGAAUUUUGGACAAUGGGGGCAACCCUGAUCCAGCCAUGCCGCGUGAGUGAAGAAGGCCUUCGGGUUGUAAAGCUCUUUCGGCCGGGAAGAAAUCGCACGGGCUAAUACCCUGUGUGGAUGACGGUACCGGAAUAAGAAGCACCGGCUAACUACGUGCCAGCCGCCGCGGUAAUAC
rnacentral:rRNA from 1 species